UAAUCCCCUAACUAACUCCCUUCUCUUAUAAUCCCCAAACGCGCGGCUAUCCUACCCAAAUCCUCAGUCUGCCCGGCCGUCCUCCGCCUCCGCGCCAGCACGCCUUAGCCCGCCCGCUCACCCGCCCGCCCGGCCGUCCUCCUCUUCCUCCCUUUCCCUCAACCCCGCCCACCCAAUCCUCAGGCCCCUCGCCAGCGCGCCCCCUGCAGGCCGGAGCCCGCGCGGCCGUCUCUCGCCUCGCGUGCGCGGCGCCUCCACGCCGGACCCAGCGCGGCCCCUGCACGCCGGAGCCCGCGCGGCCGUCUCCCGCCUCGCGUGCGCGGCGCCUGCUCGCCGGAGCCCCUGCGGCCUCGCCUGCGCGGCGCCUGCACGCCGGUGGCAGCGCGGCCGUCCUCCUCCUCAACUGCGCGGCGCCUGCACGCCGGAGCCCGCGCUGAACCCCGGCCACCCUGGUAUCGCGGUGCCAGAGGCUCCCGCUCCCCUGCGCUGCCGCAGUUCCCCCGUGCCGCAUUAUGCCGCAGCGGCAACUCUCGGUAACCUGGCCGAGAGGAAGGCCUAGGUGCGCGGCGUUGACCGACGAAUUCGAGAGCGCGGCGUUGAUGGUACAGGGAUUUGGCGGCGCACCUCUCGUCCAUGCUUGCCGAUGAUGAUUCGUGGUACCUACGCCUGUGAAGGUUGAUCAACGAGGAGAGUAAUAAGGUAACUGUUUCAUCAGUGGCUUCUGUCUAUAAUGAAUAUGCCAUGAGAAGCCAAGAUACCAAUAUUUAUCUUCAGGAAAUAAUACAGAUAUUAUACACGGGCUAAAUUUGAUCUGGUGUGGAAAUGACUUAAGAUGGUAUGGUGUACCUUGCUCUCGUUCAUGGUUUGGAGUCUCCGCUUUUUUUUGUUGCCGGGCUAUCCGCUUUUUCUGUAGGUCUUUAAAUGGGGUAUGCCCAUCCGGCGGAGAUUCUGAUGAAUUCUCUUCAUAUAUCAUCUGUUAGGAGUAUUCAGAGCAACGUAUAAUUUGACUGUUAGUGAUUGUAAAGUUGGCCAGGUUCCCAUUUGAAGAGAGCUCCAGCAGCAAAGUUAUUUGAAGGUUUGACUUACUGCUGUGUUGAACAAUAGCUGAAACAAUGGCGUGAAGUUGAUGAUGGCAACGAGCUGAUGCGACGGUGGGCUCGGUGAGUGGGCGAAACUCGGAGGCGGCGCGGUGAUGGAGCGAAACUCGGAGGCGGCGACCGUACGCAGCAGGCGAUCCUGGCGGCGGGCGAUCCUGGAAGGCGGGCGAGGAAGGCGGGCGAUCCUGGCGGCGGGUGAUUCUGGCGGUGCAGCGAUCCCGGCGGCGGGUGAUUCUGGCGGGUGAUUCUGGCGGUGCAGCGAUCCUGAGCGAUUCUGGGCGUUUUGUUCAAAAUGAGCUUUGUUCUGGAAAGAGAAUCAUGUUUGCUGACCGUGGGAAAGAGAAUCAUGUUUGCUGACCGUGACUUCAGAGGUUUCCAUAUUUUUCCGCGUGACUUCACUGGGAAAGGAAAGAUUAUUAUGACUUGGCUUAGAGCAUACGUGGAAAGAUUAUUUGGUAACCUUUGAGAUGUUAGAUGAGACGUUAGAUUAAACCGAAUGGUCAGGAUGUUCUCAAUCUCCUUCACCAAACGCGUUGUAUGACGUACGAUCAACUGAAAUAUAAUAGUAAAGAUAUGCCUAUGAUGAUUUAACUCAAUUAUUUCA